AUUGAACGCUGGCGGCAUGCUUUACACAUGCAAGUCGAACGGCAGCGCGGGCUUCGGCCUGGCGGCGAAUGGCGAACGGGUGAGUAAUGCAUCGGAACGUGCCCCGUAGUGGGGGAUAGCCCGGCGAAAGCCGGAUUAAUACCGCAUACGACCUGCGGGUGAAAGCGGGGGGCCGAAAGGCCUCGCGCUAUUGGAGCGGCCGAUGUCGGAUUAGCUGGUUGGUGGGGUAAGGGCUUACCAAGGCGACGAUCCGUAGCUGGUCUGAGAGGACGACCAGCCACACUGGGACUGGGACACGGCCCAGACUCCUACGGGAGGCAGCAGUGGGGAAUUUUGGACAAUGGGGGCAACCCUGGUCCAGCCAGGCCGCGUGCGGGAAGAAGGCCUUCGGGUUGUAAACCGCUUUUGUUCGGGAAGAAAUCCUCUGGGCUAAUACCCCGGGGGGAUGACGGUACCGGAAGAAUAAGCACCGGCUAACUACGUG
rnacentral:rRNA from 1 species